GACGAACGCUGGCGGCGUGCCUAAUACAUGCAAGUAGAACGCUGAAGAGAGGAGCUUGCUCUUCUUGGAUGAGUUGCGAACGGGUGAGUAACGCGUAGGUAACCUGCCUUGUAGCGGGGGAUAACUAUUGGAAACGAUAGCUAAUACCGCAUAACAAUGGAUGACACAUGUCUUUUAUUUGAAAGGGGCAUUUGCUCCACUACAAGAGGGACUUGCGUUGUAUUAGCUAGUAGGUGAGGUAAUGGCUCACCUAGGCGACGAUACAUAGCCGACCUGAGAGGGUGAUCGGCCACACUGGGACUGAGACACGGCCCAGACUCCUACGGGAGGCAGCAGUAGGGAAUCUUCGGCAAUGGGGGCAACCCUGACCGAGCAACGCCGCGUGAGUGAAGAAGGUUUUCGGAUCGUAAAGUUCUGUUGUAAGUCAAGAACGGGUGUGAGAGUGGAAAGUUCACACUGUGACGGUAGCUUACCAGAAAGGGACGGCUAACUACGUG
rnacentral:rRNA from 1 species